CAAUUGAUGGAAAUAGUAUARUUAUURAAUUUAGUGUUUAGGUAUGAAAGUAUAGAAAUUGAWAAGGAUUAGUGACCCUUGUAAACUAUACUGUAAAAUAUAAGUAUCCACAAUGUUAUUUGUAAAGCUAACGCGUAAAUACUUUACCUGGGUAGUACAACCGCAAGGUUUAAACUUAAAAAAAUUGGCGGGACCUAAUUUAAUGGUGGAGCAUGUGAUUUAAUUCGGUAAUCCUCGCACAACCUUACUAACAUUCUAUUAAUUCAUUUAACUAUUUCGUAUAUACGUUAAUUUAAUUAAUUUGAGUACUGCAUGGCUGUCGUCAGUUCGAAUUGUAAAACGUAAAAUUAAGUUUUAAUAGCGAACGCAACCCUAAAUUAUUAAUUUAAUUGUUUUUAAUAUAAUAACAUUUAUAUUAUAUUAGGAUGAGGGCAAGUCUUUACGAUCUUUAAAUGUUAGGCUAUACAUUUGU
rnacentral:rRNA from 1 species